GCCUGGGUGGCUCAGUCGGUUGAGCGUCAGACUUUGGCUCAGGUCAUGAUCUCAGAGUCCGUGAGUUCGAGCCCCACACUGGGCU
rnacentral:tRNA from 1 species